CCCAGUGUUCAGACUACCUGUUCAGGGCGUAGAGAUUGUACAGUAGUCUGCACAUUGGUUA
rnacentral:pre_miRNA from 1 species